AGUGAACGCUGGCGGCGUGCCUAAUACAUGCAAGUCGAACGGAGUGGCGCACGGGUGAGUAAUGUAUAGCUAAUCUGCCCUACACUAGAGGACAACAGUUGGACACGACUGCUAAUACUCUAUAGUGUAGGAUGAGGUUAUAUUGUAUCAGCUAGUUGGUGAGGUAAUUGCUCUCCAAGGCUAUGACGCAUAACUGGUCUGAGAGGCUGAUCAGUCAAACUGGAAUUGAGACACGGUCCAGACUCCUACGGGAGGCAGCAGUAGGGAAUAUUGGUCAAGGGGGGAAACCCUUAAGCAGCAACGCCGCGUGGAGGAUGACACUUUUCGGAGGGUAAACUCCUUUUGUUAGGGAAGCGGUACCUAACGAAUAAGCACCGGCUAACUCCGUGCCAGCCGCCGCGGUAAUUC
rnacentral:rRNA from 1 species